AUACGGAGGAUGCGAGCGUUAUCCGGAUUUAUUGGGUUUAAAGGGAGCGUAGGUGGGAUAUUAAGUCAGCUGUGAAAGUUUGGGGCUCAACCUUAAAAUUGCAGUUGAUACUGGUUUCCUUGAGUACGGUACAGGUGGGCGGAAUUCGUGGUGUAGCGGUGAAAUGCUUAGAUAUCACGAAGAACUCCGAUCGCGAAGGCAGCUCACCGGGCCGGAACUGACACUGAUGCUCGAAAGUGCGGGUAUCAAACAGGAUUAGAUACCCUGGUAGUCCGCACAGUAAACGAUGAAUACUCGCUGUUUGCGAUACACGGUAAGCGGCCAAGCGAAAGCGUUAAGUAUUCCACCUGGGGAGUACGCCGGCAACGGUGAAACUCUAAGGAAUUGACGGGG
rnacentral:rRNA from 1 species